rnacentral:tRNA from 1 species
GCGGGCGUGGCGAAAUGGAAAACGCGCCGGUUUUAGGUGCCGGUGCUCGAAAGAGCUUGAGGGUUCGAAUCCCUCCGCCCGCACAA